rnacentral:rRNA from 1 species
GGAUACACCUGUACCCAUCUCGAACACAGAAGUUAAGCUCUCAAGCGCCGAUGAUACUUGGUGGGAAGCUGCCUGGGAAAGUAGGUCGUUGCCGGUU